rnacentral:other from 1 species
AGUUAGCUACAUUGUACGUAUAUAAAUAAGUUUUAACCUCUAUUGUUAGUAUAGGGAGUUUUAAAUCGAAGCUCUAAUGCCGUGCCGUGAUUGAGCGGAAGGCAGGAAAGCUUCUGCGAACACCCACUUGGUCGAAGUGGUGGUUUAAAACUUUUUUUACUCGUUUAUACGGCAAAUGUGGCUUGUUU